CGCCUCUUGUACCCCCACAAAUAAGAGGUCCCGCCUGCCCCGUGACCACGUGUUUAACGGCCGCGGUAUUUUAACCGUGCGAAGGUAGCGCAAUCACUUGUUCUUUAAAUGAGGACCUGUAUGAAUGGCAGAACGAGGGCUAUACUGUCUCUUUCCUCCAAUCAAUGAAAUUGAUCCCCCCGUGCAGAAGCGGGGAUUAACCCAUAAGACGAGAAGACCCUGUGGAGCUUAAGACGACAGGGAAAGCCCUUGUCAAACACACCUGAUUAAAGGACCGAACCUAUAAGAACCUCCCCUUAUGUCUUUGGUUGGGGCGACCGAGGGGACAAAAAAAACCCCCAUGUGGACCGAGAAGACCUUCUUACUCCUCUUCUCAGACCAGAGGGCUACCGCCCAAACUCACAGAAUCUCUGACCUAAUGAUCCGGCUACGCCGAUCAACGAACCAAGUUACCCCAGGGAUAACAGCGCAAUCCUCUUUUAGAGGCCCUAUCGACAAGAGGGUUUACGACCUCGAUGUUGGAUCAGGACAUCCUAAUGGUGCAGCCGCUAUUAAGGGUUCGUUUGUUCAACGAUUAAAGUCCU
rnacentral:rRNA from 1 species